GAUGAACGCUAGCUACAGGCUUAACACAUGCAAGUCGAGGGGCAGCAUGAUUGAAGCUUGCUUCAAUCGAUGGCGACCGGCGCACGGGUGAGUAACACGUAUCCAACCUGCCGAUAACUCGGGGAUAGCCUUUCGAAAGAAAGAUUAAUACCUGAUAGUAUAGUAUUUCCGCAUGGUUUCACUAUUAAAGAACUUCGGUUAUCGAUGGGGAUGCGUUCCAUUAGAUAGUUGGCGGGGUAACGGCCCACCAAGUCAACGAUGGAUAGGGGUUCUGAGAGGAAGGUCCCCCACAGUGGAACUGAGACACGGUCCAAACUCCUACGGGAGGCAGCAGUGAGGAAUAUUGGUCAAUGGACGAGAGUCUGAACCAGCCAAGUAGCGUGAAGGAUGACUGCCCUAUGGGUUGUAAACUUCUUUUAUACGGGAAUAAAGUGGAGUAUGCAUACUCCUUUGUAUGUACCGUAUGAAUAAGGAUCGGCUAACUCCGUG
rnacentral:rRNA from 1 species